rnacentral:rRNA from 1 species
GACGAACGCUGGCGGCGUGCUUAACACAUGCAAGUCGAACGGAAAGGCCCUGCUUUUGUGGGGUGCUCGAGUGGCGAACGGGUGAGUAACACGUGAGUAACCUGCCCUUGACUUUGGGAUAACUUCAGGAAACUGGGGCUAAUACCGGAUAGGAGCUCCUGCUGCAUGGUGGGGGUUGGAAAGUUUCGGCGGUUGGGGAUGGACUCGCGGCUUAUCAGCUUGUUGGUGGGGUAGUGGCUUACCAAGGCUUUGACGGGUAGCCGGCCUGAGAGGGUGACCGGCCACGUUGGGCCUGAGAUGCGGCCCAGACCCCUCCGGUAGGCAGCAGUGGGGAAUAUUGCACAAUGGGCGGAAGCCUGAUGCAGCCACGCCGCGUGCGGGAUGCCGGCCUUCGGGUUGUAUACCGCUUUCGCCUGUGCCGAAGCGUGAGUGACGGUAAUGGGUAAAGAAGCACCGGCUAACUCCGUG